CCCUGGCAGCGGUGAUGACCAGUCCCUUGCUCCACACUCCUUGCAGCAGUCUGAGCUUCCAGGCUCCUAAAAUAGAUCCACCUGAGUCAGAAUCACCCAGCCCCUGUUAAACCUGCUGGUUUCUGGGCGCCUCUCCUGACCUCCUAAAUCAGAGUGUCCGGGGUGGGGGUGGGGGGGCAUGUGGCCCUGCAUUUGUGACAAGCCCCUGGGCAGUUUGGAAGCAUCAUGAACACCAGGCGCCAGCACUGCCUGCUGUGGGGGCUUCCCAAGCCCCGCCCACCCUGUCUGUUCCUCUCUUCACCUGUCUUGGGGCUUUGCCUACUGAUUUACGGUUGUUUCCAGCUGUCCCUCUUGUAGGCUGGCCUCCUUAAGAACAACAUUCAGCUUUGGUCUGCAGUGCCUGGCCCUUAGUGAGCUCUGAUCAGCGCUCCUCUUCCUGCCCACACAACAGCAAAACGCCUGAGAAAGUGUCUGACGGAGGUCUGUGGACCAGGGUGGGAGAGGGGCUGCAGGAGAAGCGCGGGCAGCUGUGUGUGUAACCGGUCAAUUCACACGGUGGCUCAGGGUUCCUCUGGAGGGGAAUCUCCGGCGGUCCCCGUCCACUUUCACAGUCUGGAGGAGCGGCUGAGCCUGCAAAUAAAACAUUCCUAGGGCUCUUCCGGGUCUCUCACUGACCAGCUCUUCCCCAAGGGCCCCCUCCCGGGGAAGUCUGGAGAAUGUCCAGGGAGGCAGCAGCAAGUGACAUACACGGAGUGUCAACAGUGAUGCGGUUUUGGACCUUGGUCUACGAGAUCUUCUCUGAGUUGUUGCUGGGGAAGAAGAUGACUGGGAGAUUUCCUCGGCCUGAUGGCGACUGUGGCAGCCAAUAUACAGGGGUCUGCUGGCUGGAGGAGGAGCCCCCCAAGUCUCGUCAGUGUUGGGGAGGUCCUGAGCCUUGGCCCCUGUGGGACUGAGUUUCAAGCCAAGACUUUGGGAGCUGGCAAGGUCACCAGACGCAAAGCUGCCUGGAGCCAGGGUGGAGCUGCCAGUGGAAGAGCCAGGGGAGGAAGCAAGCGGAGUGGUGGGAGUGGUGGGGAUGUGGUGAAGGCCUGGCCCAUGGCUGCAGAUGCAGAAUGAGAGGCACCCAUGCCGGAGUAAGGCUGGGAGUGCACCAGCAUCACUGUCUGCAAUAAUCCUUUUACAUUAUUUUCAAAGAUACCUUUUUUUAACCUUUAAGAAUCAGAAUAGUUACAUUUAGAACACUUUCUGUAUCAGUUGGUUUUUAGGUGUUAGAAACUGGCAUGAAGCCUGAGAAGAGGCUUAAUUCUGGAAAGUGGAUCUAUUACAGCAGUUUCAACACGGAAAGACAUUUUUAGAAAUGAAUUCUUGGCUUGCAUGGUAAACGCACACUGACCAGCCGAGGCAUUCUAGUAUCUGAUGUGGCCACAGUCCUAAACGGAAAAGCGAGCACCCGCUGUCCUUUAAAACAUCCGCUGCGUCUCAUGCUUCUGUGUGUGCACCAGUGAACCUGCUUUUAUGCUUGUAUUUCUUGUGUUGAAUAUCUGUUUUGAAUUUACACGAUUAUGCUUUGAUUCUUCAUAAUUUCUCAUUUUAUAGGAUGGAUUUGUGUUGACCAUAAGCUGUAAAUAAAAAGAAACAGAUGUGUGAAAUAAA